AACGAACGCUGGCGGCAGGCCUAACACAUGCAAGUCGAGCGCCCCGCAAGGGGAGCGGCGGACGGGUGAGUAACGCGUGGGAACGUACCCUUUGCUACGGAAUAGCCUCGGGAAACUGGGAGUAAUACCGUAUGUGCCCUUGGGGGAAAGAUUUAUCGGCAAAGGAUCGGCCCGCGUUGGAUUAGGUAGUUGGUGGGGUAAUGGCCUACCAAGCCGACGAUCCAUAGCUGGUUUGAGAGGAUGAUCAGCCACACUGGGACUGAGACACGGCCCAGACUCCUACGGGAGGCAGCAGUGGGGAAUCUUAGACAAUGGGCGCAAGCCUGAUCUAGCCAUGCCGCGUGAGCGAUGAAGGCCUUAGGGUUGUAAAGCUCUUUCAGUGGGGAAGAUAAUGACUGUACCCACAGAAGAAGCCCCGGCUAACUCCGUGCCAGCAGCCACGGUAAUGUCGUACG
rnacentral:rRNA from 1 species